GACGACCGCUGGCGGCGUGCUUAACACAUGCAAGUCGAGCGGAGCGGCGAACGGGUGAGUAACGCGUGAGUAACUGUCCCCAUCUCUGGGAUAACAGUUGGAAAAGGAUGCUCAUACCGGAUAGUGGGGGAUGCCUCGCGUCCUAUCCGCUUGUUGGUGGGGUAGUGUCCUACCACGGCGACGACGGGUAGCCGGCCUGAGAGGUCGACCGGCCACAUGGUGUUGAGAUACGGCCCAAACUCCUACGGUAGGCAGCAGUGGAGAAUAUUGCACAACGGGGGAAACCCUGAUGCAGCAACGCCGCGUGCGGGAGUACGGCCUUCGGGGUGUAAACCGCUGUCAGCCAUGACGCGGUAGUGGCAGAAGAAGCACCGGCUAACUACGUGCCAGCAGCCGCGGUAAUAC
rnacentral:rRNA from 1 species